rnacentral:piRNA from 1 species
UUAAAGAUCCAGGAAGGAAGAACUUCCCAGC